rnacentral:lncRNA from 1 species
AUAGACUGUAUUCAUCUGCAUUUCAAUAGAUAUAUUUUUUGUUUUACAAGGACCUGUAAUUAACAAAAUGAAUAACUGACAGGAGUUAAAAAUCCUUUCUCUCCCAACAAUGAAAUUAUAUUAAUAGAAAGGUGAGCAAGGAUUAAAUAAUGUUAUAUUCAGCUUCACAAUUAAUGUCGUUAUUGAAAAGUACUUAUAUUGAACUAAAUUUUCAUGUCAUAAUUCAAUAAAUAAAUGAAUAAGGGAUGAAUUAAGUCUUCUGAACCUCCUGAAUAGGAAUUUCUGUAAUCUAAAAUCCUCAUACAUGACUUUUUUUCUUGUAGGUGGACUUCUUACAUAAACUUGGGGGAGGGAAUGUGGAGGCCGCUCGUCCGGCUGACAACAAAUGAAGUUGCCACCAACUUCUGCAGGGAAGGUGGGAAAGGGAAGAGGUCCCUAAACAGCCUUCUGAUAAACAAAAUUCUGGAGAUUGUUGCUGCGUCUCUGGAGAUUUCAUGAGCAAGCUGUUUGAAACCAGGGUGUAAGAGUGGCUCCGGCAGGCUGGGACCAGAAUGUAAUUUAUUAAAAACUUCAAAAAAUAAUUGAAUUAACUAGAAUUUAUUUGUCACGUUUCAUGAGAUUGUAGUGGAAUAAAAAUGUAUUUUCAAGUUGU